GAUGAAGAACGUAGCGAAAUGCGAUACUUGGUGUGAAUUGCAGAAUCCCGUGAACCAUCGAGUCUUUGAACGCAAGUUGCGCCCGAAGCCAUUAGGCCGAGGGCACGCCUGCCUGGGCGUCACACGUCGUUGCCCCCCCCAUCUACUCCUUCGGGAUUGCGGGGGGCGGAUGAUGGCCUCCCGUGCGCCUCGCCGCGCGGUUGGCAUAAAUGCCAAGUCCUCGGCGACGCACGCCACGACAAUCGGUGGUUGCGAAACCUCGGUUGCCCGUCGUGUGCGGUCGUCGCGCAUCGAGGGCUCGAAAAAAUUGCCGAGUUCCGGCUCGGCUUUCAACGCGACCCCAGGUCAGGCGGGGUUACCAGCUGAAUUUAAGCAUAUCAAUAAGCGGGGGA
rnacentral:misc_RNA from 1 species